AGUGAACGCUGGCGGUAGGCCUAACACAUGCAAGUCGAACGGCAGCACAGUAAGAGCUUGCUCUUACGGGUGGCGAGUGGCGGACGGGUGAGGAAUACAUCGGAAUCUACUUUUUCGUGGGGGAUAACGUAGGGAAACUUACGCUAAUACCGCAUACGACCUACGGGUGAAAGCAGGGGAUCUUCGGACCUUGCGCGAUUGAAUGAGCCGAUGUCGGAUUAGCUAGUUGGCGGGGUAAAGGCCCACCAAGGCGACGAUCCGUAGCUGGUCUGAGAGGAUGAUCAGCCACACGAGAGCUGAGACACGGUCCAGACUCCUACGGGAGGCAGCAGUGGGGAAUAUUGGACAAUGGGCGCAAGCCUGAUCCAGCCAUACCGCGUGGGUGAAGAAGGCCUUCGGGUUGUAAAGCCCUUUUGUUGGGAAAGAAAAGCAGCAGGUUAAUACCCCGCUGUUCUGACGGUACCCAAUGAAUAAGCACCGGCUAACUUCGUG
rnacentral:rRNA from 1 species